rnacentral:rRNA from 1 species
UACAGAGGUCCCAAGCGUUGUUCGGAUUCACUGGGCGUAAAGGGUGCGUAGGCGGUCGGGUAAGUCUGAUGUGAAAUCUCACAGCUUAACUGUGAAACUGCAUUGGAUACUAUCCGGCUCGAGGAAUGGAGGGGAGACUGGAAUACUUGGUGUAGCAGUGAAAUGCGUAGAUAUCAAGUGGAACACCAGUGGCGAAGGCGAGUCUCUGGACAUUUCCUGACGCUGAGAAGCGAAAGCAUGGGGAGCGAACAGG